rnacentral:rRNA from 1 species
AUUGAACGCUGGCGGCAUGCCUUACACAUGCAAGUCGAACGGCAGCACGGGAGCAAUCCUGGUGGCGAGUGGCGAACGGGUGAGUAAUAUAUCGGAACGUGCCGAGUCGUGGGGGAUAACGUAGCGAAAGCUACGCUAAUACCGCAUACGAUCUAUGGAUGAAAGCGGGGGAUCGCAAGACCUCGCGCGAUUGGAGCGGCCGAUAGCAGAUUAGGUAGUUGGUGAGGUAAAGGCUCACCAAGCCGACGAUCUGUAGCUGGUCUGAGAGGACGACCAGCCACACUGGGACUGAGACACGGCCCAGACUCCUACGGGAGGCAGCAGUGGGGAAUUUUGGACAAUGGGCGCAAGCCUGAUCCAGCAACGCCGCGUGCAGGAUGAAGGCCUUCGGGUUGUAAACUGCUUUUGUACGGAGCGAAAAGGCUUCCACUAAUACUGGGGGCUCAUGACGGUACCGUAAGAAUAAGCACCGGCUAACUACGUGCCAGCAGCCGCAGUAACAC